CAAAAGAAGUUGGAGACGCCAGGUGGAGUGUUACAGAUGAAGGCUGAGAUGUCAAGGUAGUGUUACACAUGAACUCAGAGACACUAGAUGAAGUUGAAGAUGCCAUGGGGAGUGUGACAGAAGAACUCAGAGAAGAUGGAGUAGUGUGACUCCUGAUCUCAGAUACAAUGGUACAGUUCCCUUCAGAGAUGCUCACCUCUCCCAUUAUAAUACAUCAACAAUUAGUGCCAGAGAAAAAUGAUCCUCAACACACCACAACUGGUCUCAGGUGAUCGAGGAGGAGGAGGAUGGAGCUGGGUGCACGAGAUCUGACACCUCCUUGCCAAUUCACUACAGAGAGACAGAGCAUAGUUUCUGCCUCUGGUUUUACAGAUUGGAAGUUCAUUUCCAGCAUGAUGUCCAUCAUGAUAGAAUGAUACCUCUACAAAAAAACUAAGAACUUUCAGGUGCUCAUAUUGUGGAACUUCUCUGUAUUAUUAUGUUCUUCCUGUUUCUUCUUUUGUUUUCAUUGAAGCAUAUUGUACC
ensembl:lncRNA